CUUUUUCAGAAAUACUAACAGCAGCUACCAAGAUGGAGGCCUUAAAAUCGGUCCAAAUUCGACUGGAAACCUAACAAGGUUUGAGAAUUUUCUAUGAUUGCUCACAGAACUCAGGGAAACUGGUUUAUUAUGAGAGAUAUGAUAAAGGAUACAGAUGAACAGCCAGAUAGAGAGAUUCACAGCUUGGGUUUCACAUUGCUUCCAGGAUUCCUGCUGAGGAGUAGUUCUGACCAGGAAUUCUUUUUAUCUGUCUGGUGCAUAUACCUUUUCCCCUUUCUCAGCUUCUUGACCCCAGCAAGAGUUGAGCAACUUCCCCAGACCCCCAUCUUCUGCUGGGCCCUUCAACCAUGAUGCUCAGCCUCACCAGAGCAAUGGACUUGGUCCACUACAGACUGAACACCGAAACUGUGAGCUUCAAAUAAACUUUACUUCCUUUAAGUUGUUUUGGCCAGGUAUUUUGUUCAUGGCAAUGCAAAACUGACUAAAACAAAGAUUUAUUAGGAUUCCAGUACAAGCUAAGUGACACUGCUCUUAUCAGACAAAUUGUGAUUUUCUAGUACAGUGAAAAUCUCUGGCUUUGCCUGCCUAUUACAUAUGUUCUCUUCUUAUGAUAUGAUACUUUGAAUUUUCAUUGAGGAAGAACCUUAUCCCAUUGCAAAAAAGCACCUUUUCCCAUUGGUGAGUUCUUCUAAGGUGCUUAUCCUACCUAUAGUUAAGAAGUGACUGUGUUACUCAAGAAAAGCCAGUUAUAUUUUAUCUUUCCCUGGUUGAAUUUUCAAUAGCAUAAUAACAAAAAGUUGUUGGAGCCGAUUCAUCAAGAUAGUAGUGCUUAUUAAGAGAUUGCCAAUUAUUGCCUACUUUUAGAUACCCAGAUCUCACAAUCUUUUUGGAUAUAAAACUAAUUAGGUUUUCUGUAAUUUUUUUUCCUCUAAUAAAAACCCAAUCUAGAGACAAUUUCUAUUGCUUGUAAACCAAGAGCCAGUGGGUCCUGUGGUAGGCAGAAUAAUGACUCUCCAAAGAUGUUUACAUCCUGAUCCCCAAAACCUGUAACAUGUUUUACUACAAAACAAGAGAGAAUUAAGGUUGCAGAUGAAAUUUAAGUCACUAAUCAGCUGAAGUGAAGGAAAAGAGGCUAUCCUGGAUUAUCAAGGUGGCCCCAGUAUAAUCAUACAACACUUGAAUGGAAAGAAAGAAACGGAUGACUCAAAACCAGACAUAUGACAUCAUAAUAAAGAUAUAACAGCCACGGCUAGAUUUGAAGAUCUAAGGGAACCAUGAGCUGGAGUAGAUUCUUUCCUAGAAUCUACAGGAAGGACCACAGCCCUGCUGACAUCUUGAUUUUAGCUCAGUGACAUCUAUUUUGGAUUUCUGAACUCUGAAAUUAUAAAUAAUAAUUUUGUAUUGUUUUGAACUAUUAAGUUGUGAUAAUU